UACGAAGGGGGCUAGCGUUGUUCGGAAUCACUGGGCGUAAAGGGCGCGUAGGCGGCUUUAUAAGUCGGGGGUGAAAGCCUGUGGCUCAACCACAGAAUUGCCUUCGAUACUGUAGAGCUUGAGACCGGAAGAGGUAAGUGGAACUGCGAGUGUAGAGGUGAAAUUCGUAGAUAUUCGCAAGAACACCAGUGGCGAAGGCGGCUUCCUGGACCAGUACCGACGUUCAGGCACGAAAGCGUGGGGAGCAAACAGG
rnacentral:rRNA from 1 species